rnacentral:rRNA from 1 species
UACAGAGGGGGCGAGCGUUGUUCGGAAUUACUGGGCGUAAAGGGCGCGUAGGCGGCCCGCUAAGUCGAACGUGAAAUCCCCAGGCUUAACCUGGGAACUGCGUCCGAUACUGGCAGGCUUGAAUCCGGGAGAGGGAUGUGGAAUUCCAGGUGUAGCGGCGAAAUGCGUAGAUAUCUGGAGGAACACCGGUGGCGAAGGCGGCAUCCUGGACCGGUAUUGACGCUGAGGCGCGAAAGCUAGGGGAGCAAACGGG